CUUUUCUCUUUCUUCUUCUUCUUUUUUUUUUUUUUGAGAGAUGUUUUCACAUGGGAAUAUACUUUCCCCCCCCUUCUUUCUCCAUGACAACUGACCACAAUUGAAGUAGAUUCUUCUUAACAUACUGUAAUGUGAGAAUUUUCUUCAGCUGGAGGGUGUUUUAUUCCCUAAAUUGAAAGCUGUUCUACUUUACCGCAUAAAAUGUGAGCUGGAAGAUUAGGAUGCUGGGUACCUUUGCCAGUAUAAAAAAAGGUGCGUGCUCAAGAGUUAUCUGACUGGGUUGUUGAAGACAGCAAGUCACUACAGAGGAGAAGGAAUUCUCAGAAGAUAAGUGUCUGCCACCCUGUCUCUUUUGUGCUAACUACCAACAGCUGGAGCCCAGGCAGAAGAGAGGCAAGAGAAGCACGUGUCAAGGAAGUAUGUGCUUAAGCAUGAAGGUGAACAGAGCUUUCCAGGGGAAAGGUCAUCUUCUAACCAAACGGGAGAUGUUGAGUUAGAAACUCCUUUUCCUGUUAUUUCAAACAUACCCCAAGCACAGCUCCAGCAGCCACUGAGGGUCGGUUGGGCAUGGAUGGGAGAGGGCUGACCCGACGUCAAUUUGUAGUGUUCCUUCAUUAUCUGCCCAUUCUAAUGGGCGUCUGCUGCACAUCAUGGACGCAAAGUGCGGAGCAUCGGGUGUUCACAGCUUCCCAUUGUGAAGUGAAGGUGUUGGGACCACCUUGUAUUCAGGUGAGAUUAAACUGCAUUAUCUCUCCUGACUUCCCAUUUGUACUAUUGUCCUGGAUGGAUAUCUCUAUAGAGACUUGGUGUCCCUUUUGUUACUGGCACUUGAACUACAGGUUCACACUUCAUAGUUGUGAUAAACAGCCUAUUUGCUGUUCCUUCUUUCAUAUUCAAUUAGUUGCUUUCUAAUAAUUACUGUGCUUUAUUUUUUUUUUUACUGAACCUAAUGAGUCAGAAAUAGAAGUAGCAGUGAGUCUUGCUUUUUAGUGCAAACACAUUGAAAUUAGCCUUUCACAACUGAAAAUUCCUGUUACCUUCCUAACAAAAAUACAUUUUUGAAUGAGAUUCUUUGUGCCUCUGAAGACUAUUGAGGCUCUUUGAUAGCAAAGUGAAAUACAAGGUUGCAGCAAAUUAACGAGUGAGAAGCCUUUUGAAAGCAAAACCUAACUCAGUGGACCUUACCGUGCUUGGCAGUUGUCUGAUGCAGUCAGCUGUGAACCAGAACAGAUAUAUACUUGUUGCCAUCAGCAAGUGCCCAAAGUGUGUAACGCUGCAGAGUUUAUGUGACUUGGACACCUGAGACCACAGCCGUGGGGAUGGGAAGGAAAGGAGAAGUUGAGCUGGACCACCAGGGCAUGGUACUGCUGGCUUACUACAGUAAUAGGAUCCCCAGGUCUGAGCCAGUGCUAUCACUACAAGAAAGUGUAGAAUAUGAGGGAAGAUGAUGCAUGGAAAAAAGAAAAACAUUCCUGAGUCACCCUGCUUCAGGAGCAUAAGGAGGCACAAGAUAGUAAACGUUGGAUUUUCAUCCUACCUUUACAUUUCUGUGACAGGGCAUCAUUAUGAGCUCUCCUUUCAAAGCUGGAAGCAGAGAGAUUAUCAAAACCAUGAGGUUUUUGGUAUAUUCAUGACAGAAUGGGCAGAUUAAAAAAGGAUGCACUACUUGAUCGGCAGCUUCCUGCAUAUGUAAAUCUUAGGUCACCUUGCUGUUCCUUGAUGUCUGAAGUCUGCA
ensembl:lncRNA